GGUUUGUACCGAUUCAGGGCAAGGUUCGUCGAAGUAACUACUUUGAGUCGGUACGAAUCAC
rnacentral:pre_miRNA from 1 species